AUUGAACGCUGGCGGCAGGCCUAACACAUGCAAGUCGAACGAGUGGCGGACGGGUGAGAAAUGUCUGGGAAACUGCCUGAUGGCGGGGGAUAACUACUGGAAACGGUAGCUAAUACCGCAUACCAUCAGAUGUGCCCAGAUGGGAUUAUCUUGUUGGUGGGGUAACGGCUCACCACGGCGACGAUCCCUAGCUGGUCUGAGAGGAUGACCAGCCACACUGGAACUGAGACACGGUCCAGACUCCUCCGGGAGGCAGAAGUAGGGAAUAUUGCACAAUGGGCGAAAGCCUGAUGCAGCCAUGCCGCGUGUGUGAUGAAGGCCUUCGGGUUGUAAAGUACUUUCAGUGGGGAGGCGUUACCCGCAGAAAAAGCACCGGCUAACUCCGUGCCAGCCGCCGCGGUAAUUC
rnacentral:rRNA from 1 species